CCUACGGGUGGCAGCAGUGGGGAAUAUUGCGCAAUGGGCGAAAGCCUGACGCAGCGACGCCGCGUGCGGGAUGAAGGUCCUCGGAUUGUAAACCUCUGUUUGCAGGGAAGAACGGUCCCUGUGCUAAUCAGCCGUGAAUUGACGGUACCUGCAAAGGAAGCACCGGCUAAUUCCGUGCACGCAGCCGCGGUAAUACGGAGGGUGCGUGCGGUGAUCGGAAUUACUGGGCGUAAAGCGCUCGUAGGUGGUAUGUAAAGUCAAGGGUGAAAUGCCGUAGCUCAACGUGGGUACUGCCUUGGAAACUGGCAAGCUGGAGUGUGUGAGAGGAUUGUGGAAUUCGGGGUGUAGGAGUGAAAUGCUUAGAUAUCAGGAAGAACUUCAAUUGCGAAGGCAACAAUCUGGCACACAACUGACGCUGAAGAUCGAAGGCGUGGGUAUCGAACAGGAUUAGAUACCCUAGUAGUC
rnacentral:rRNA from 1 species